CUACGGGCCGCAGCAGUGGGGAAUAUUGGACAAUGGGGGAAACCCUGAUCCAGCAAUGCCGCGUGUGUGAAGAAGGCCUGCGGGUUGUAAAGCACUUUCGGUUGGGAGGACUGCUUCUAGCACUAAUAUUGUUGGAAGUUGACGUUACCUUCAGAAGAAGCACCGGCUAACUCCGUGCCAGGCAGCCGCGGUAAUACGGAGGGUGCAAGCGUUAAUCGGAAUUACUGGGCGUAAAGCGCGCGUAGGCGGCUAGAUCAGUCGGGUGUGAAAGCCCCGGGCUUAACCUGGGAACUGCAUCCGAUACUGUCUAGCUUGAGUACAGGAGAGGGGAGUGGAAUUCCACAUGUAGCGGUGAAAUGCGUAGAUAUGUGGAGGAACACCAAUGGCGAAGGCAGCUCUCUGGCCUGAUACUGACGCUGAGGUGCGAAAGCGUGGGAAGCAAACAGGAUUAGAUACCCCCGUAGUC
rnacentral:rRNA from 1 species